GAUGAAGAACGUAGCGAAAUGCGAUAAGUAAUGUGAAUUGCAGAAUUCAGUGAAUCAUCGAAUCUUUGAACGCACAUUGCGCCCGCCAGUAUUCUGGCGGGCAUGCCUGUUCGAGCGUCAUUUCGACCAUCAAGCCCCAGGCUUGUGUUGGGGACCUGCGGCUGCCGCAGGCCCUGAAAACCAGUGGCGGGCUCGCUGUCACACCGGGCGUAGUAGAUUUUAUCUCGCUCAGGGCGUGCUGCGGGUUCCGGCCGUUAAAAAGCCUUUUUUACCCAAGGUUGACCUCGGAUCAGGUAGGAAGACCCGCUGAACUUAAGCAUAUAAUAAGCGGAGGA
rnacentral:misc_RNA from 1 species